ACCACAGGUGUACUAUAUAGGAGCAGUGAAAGAAAAAGCUAUUGUUUGUGAGCAAGAGUAUAUUAAGACGGAAGGAGUCAAUACUACUUGCUAGUGGGAGGAAAAGAUACUACUCUUCUUACUACUACUUACCCACCAAUAUGCUACAAUUUGGACAAUUUUCCACUAACAUGAUACACUGAGGGGAAUGAAAACAAACUUUUCUAGUCACUGAUUGUACCAGAAUGAAAACCCAUGCAAGCCAUUUACUCCAGGGUGCCAUUUGGUAUAGAGGUGGAAUGCACUUUUGGGAGUACAGGUUACAGAUUUCCUUUAUAUUCAAGAAAAAUCUGAUGUCAGCAGUUUAAGAAGAAAAUCUCAACAAUCAUCCCUCCACCUAUGCAUCCAAAACUAGCAAUGGAAAAGAGAAGAAAACAUGUUCCAGCAACCUCUCCAGCUCUGAGCUUUGCCAAAUGGAAAUUCCGUUGCCACUAGAGACAACAGCAGAACCAAACUAAGUAUCAGUCACUACUGUAUAUACUCAAAGGAAAACCAUUGCUUAUUUUCAAUGUCGUCAUAAUUCCAGAGAAUUUAGGGCCUAAUCCACCUUGCGUGAAAAUCAGUGGAAAGACUUCCAUUAACUUAAGUGGGAGUUGGAUCAGGCCAAUAGUGAGAAAAAGUAAAUUGUGCAUUCUGCUCUGUAUAUGGGACCAGACUUUAUAUGACUUAGCAAACUCUUGUGUAAAAAUCUUACAACAUGCUGCCUUCCCUCAAAACAAUGCUCACAACAUUUCUACUUCUUCACAGCUUCCUUCUCCCAAAACAAAUUCCCCUCACAAAUCACAUCCAAAAUACAUUCUCAUCAAACUUCUUCUCUGAAACUCUUUCCUCAAAACACCUUCCUCUUACUUAGUUCCCCACAUCAACUUUGCUCUUAUAAAACUUUCCCCAAAACCACUUCUUCCACAAAACAAAUUUCCUCCUCACCAGAUAUCUGCCACCUGAAAACACCAUUCCCAUCAAAAUAAAAUAAUAAAAAAUAAUUUAAUGGCUUGUUUUACUCCUUUCAAUUCAUCCCCCCCCUAUGUUCAUCUUUUUCUUUCACUUCUUGUAUCCUGCCUCACCUGGACUGUAAAUACCAUAUGGCAGGGACUGUUUUCCUUGUUACUUGUUUGUAAAGUGUCCAGAUAAUGGAGUUUUGAG